GGGGUUGUGGCUCAGUGGUAGAGUGCUUGCCUAGCAUGCAUGAAGCCCUGGGUUCGAUUCCUCAGUACCA
rnacentral:tRNA from 1 species